rnacentral:rRNA from 1 species
UACGGAAGGGGGCAAGCGUUGUUCGGAAUCAUUGGGCGUAAAGGGCGCGUAGGUGGUUCUGUAUGUCUACCGUGAAAGCAUACGGCUCAACUGUAUUUUUGUCGGUAGAAACUGCAGGACUUGAGGCUGGGAGGGGCUGGUGGAAUUCCCUGUGUAGCGGUGAAAUGCGCAGAUAUCGGGAGGAACACCUAUGGCGAAGGCAGCUCGCUGGGACGUUACUGACGCUGAGACGCGAAAGCGUGGGGAGCAAACAGG